rnacentral:tRNA from 1 species
GUAAAUAUAGUUUAAAAAAAACGUUAGACUGUGAAUCUAAUAAUAGGACAUAAACCCCCUUAUUUACC